GACGUAGGAGGCGAGCGUUGUCCGGAUUCAUUGGGCGUAAAGAGCACGCAGGCGGUUUGGCAAGUCGGAUGUGAAAACCCGAAGCUCAACUUCGGGCCUGCAUCCGAAACUGCCCGACUAGAGGUAGGUAGGGGAGAUCGGAAUUCCUGGUGUAGCGGUGAAAUGCGCAGAUAUCAGGAGGAACACCGGUGGCGAAGGCGGAUCUCUGGGCCUUACCUGACGCUCAGGUGCGAAAGCGUGGGUAGCAAACAGG
rnacentral:rRNA from 1 species